CCUACGGGAGGCAGCAGUGAGGAAUAUUGGUCAAUGGGCGGAAGCCUGAACCAGCCAAGUCGCGUGAAGGACGAAGGUGCUAAGCAUCGUAAACUUCUUUUGUAAAGGGAUAAAAUCAGGGACGAGAGCCUCACCGAAGGUACUUGAUGAAUAAGGAUCGGCUAACUCCGUGCCAGCAGCCGCGGUAAUACGGAGGAUCCGAGCGUUAUCCGGAUUUAUUGGGUUUAAAGGGUGCGUAGGCGGCAUUUUAAGUCAGCGGGGAAAGCCUGUGGCUCAACCCUCGACAAGCCGUUGAAACUGGGUGGCGUGAGAUGUCUAGAGGUAUGCGGAAUGCGCGGUGUAGCGGUGAAAUGCUUAGAUAUUACGCAGAACCCCGAUUGCGAAGGCAGCCUACC
rnacentral:rRNA from 1 species